CUGCAGUAGAGGAAUAUGAAUAAUCACAAGAGGCAGGUAGAAGAAAUGUACUCGACUGUGUGCAAAGCUGGCAAGAAGAAGAAACACCAAGGCUCUGCUCUGUCCCCUUCUGAAGGAAUGGACACUAGGGAGACAGGCCAAGGAGAACAGGGGUGGCCAGCUGCCCAUCUCAGAGAUGUCAGGGCGGGGUAUCAGUCCACACCGGGUCGAGUCUUACUCACUGAGCCCUGCUAUGAGUCGAUCAGUGAUGGAUCCUGGACUGAGCAUGGCAGGAACCCAGUCCCAGAACCGGCCUACGAGGCAGUAGAUGUCAACUGGAAAAAGCCCAAGAGAAGGGAUAAGUCUACCAAGAACUGCCCUGCCGAGAACUUGUAUGAAAGCAUCAGUGAAAUGUGGGAAGGGGACUCUAGGAACACAGCUACCCUGGCGGCUCCCAAUGGGUUGGAGAUAUACGUAACAGACUGAUAACCCCUUAUGUCUAGCUGCCCCCUUCCUGGGAAGGUCUGUGCUCCUCCACUGAGACCUCCAGCUGUCUCAGGUCUCAGCCACAUGGCGAGGCACAACAAGAACAUCCAACACCACAACAGUAAAUACUAAAAACAUCAACCCGCUCUAAACCCUCCUGCCUCAGGUCUCAGGCCAGCCUGUCACUAACAGGAGUUAAACUUUCCCUGCGGGCUGGGUAUCCCAAUGCUCCUUCUGCAGAACGCCUCACACCUUCCUCUGAAGCAGCUGGUGCUGGGUGUUGUCCGAGGCAGUUCACUGGACUCGGUGGACCUAUGGUGGCCUGAACUACAGGCAAAAGAAUUGAGUAAUUCUAAUGGGUUUGGCAUUGGUUGAGGGUUGUGCCCAUUCUAGGGGGCACAGACACCCAGAUCAGGUGCCUCUCUUCCCUGAGUCUUUAUGCAGGGUCCAGUAAAGCUGGGCACAGAAACCUAGGUAAGGAAAGGGGCAGCUGAGUUAAUAAAGAGGAAUCUCCCGUAUGUAUUUUAAUCCUG
rnacentral:lncRNA from 1 species